rnacentral:lncRNA from 1 species
GCUGGUUUUGAUAUCAAUCCCAUUGUUGUCUUAAGGAUGUUUGCUUGUCAUGUUUUUGGAUUUUAGUCACAUUUUAGAAAUCCGCUGGUUUAAGCCAUUUUAAUACCUUUAAAAAUUUGCCCAUAAACCCCCAUUUUUUUUUUUUUUUUUUAAUUAUAAGCCAUUUGUUAAAGUCUUAUAAAAUCUUAUUUAUUUUUUAAUAGUUUUUGAGAACUUUAACUGGUCAAUG